rnacentral:rRNA from 1 species
UACGUAGGGGGCAAGCGUUGUCCGGAAUCAUUGGGCGUAAAGCGCGUGUAGGCGGCCCGGUAAGUCCGCUGUGAAAGUCGGGGGCUCAACCCUUGAAUGCCGGCCGAUACUGUCAGGCUAGAGUCCGGAAGAGGCGAGUGGAAUUCCUGGUGUAGCGGUGAAAUGCGCAGAUAUCAGGAGGAACACCUAUGGCGAAGGCAGCUCGCUGGGACGGUACUGACGCUGAGACGCGAAAGCGUGGGGAGCGAACAGG